UCAACAUUUGACAAUAUUGCAAAUCAAUUUCUUAAUUAAAAGAUUUAAAGCGGACAUGAACCAAAAAAUCUAGACUUAUUUCGUGGUGGCAUGACUAAAUUUUGUCAAGAGAAUGGAUAGUAGUAAUAUCAAAGGGAACAAGAACUUAAACAACUACAGUUCUUUUUGAUGUCCAAGAUUCUUAAAUAUGCCUGUAAGAAUAUAAUAUGUCUUUGUGGGACGGUUUCAAAG